ensembl:lncRNA
AUGUUUCUCCUGAUUGUCUUUCCUUCUUUGUAUCCCUUAGGCCUAAGUCCAGCCGCUGCAGCCGCCGCCGCCAAAGCAGCCAAAUAUGGUCUGGGUCCAGGCGGUGUUGGGGCCAUCCCAGGUGGCGUUGGUGUUGGUGGCAUUCCUGGUGUCGGCGGUGUUCCCGGAGUCGGUGUCGGUGGCGUUCCUGGUGCUGGCAUUGGAGGCGUUCCGGGUUUGCCAGCAGCUCCAGGCGCCGGGGCCUCGGCUGCAGCCGCAGCUAAGGCAGCCGCAAAAGCCGCAGCGUAUGGAAGAGGAGUCGCUCCUGGCUACGGAGGAAUCGGUGGCAUUGGAACCGGUGGCAUUGGAACUGGUGGCCUCGUGCCCGGCGGUGUCGGUGUCGGCGGUCUAACUCCGGGAACUCAAGCAGCCGCCGUUGCAGCAAAAGCAGCCGCCAAAGCAGCGAAAUACGGAGCCGGUGGAGCGAGGGGUCUCGUUCCUGGGGCAGGAGUCGGUGGUCUGGUGCCAGGCGUUGGCGGCGUUGGAGGUGUUGGAGGCAUUGGCGGCGUCGGUGGCGUUGGCGGCGGUCUCGUUCCAGGCGCUGGAGGAGCCGGGAGCAUCAGCGCAGCCGUGGCAGCUAAAGCGGCAGCAAAGGCAGCUAAAUAUGGUGCUGGAAGAGGUGGAGUCUUACCUGGAGGUGGAGUCCUACCUGGAGGUGGAGUCUUGCCAGGGGGCGGAGUCUUACCUGGAGGUGGAGUCCUACCUGGAGGCGGAGUCUUGCCUGGAGGUGGAGUCGUCCCUGGAGGCGGAGUCUUGCCUGGCGGAAUCCCUCAAAUCGGAGUACAGCCUGGAGCCAAGCCCCCUAAAUAUGGUGUGCCAGGAGCCGGACUGGGUGGACUUGGCGUUCCAGGUUUUGGUGGUCGAGGAGGUGGCUUGGUCCCAGGAGCCGGUGGUGCUGGUUAUGGUGGGCUGGGAGCUGGAGGCCUCUCUCCUGGGUUGACGUAUCCAGGGGCCGGCGGUAAACCACCCAAACCAGGUUAUGGUGGUGGACUUCCCGUUAAUGGACUGCUUCCUCAAGUUGGAACCGGCUACGGAGGCUUGAGUCCGGCAGCUAUGGCAGCUGCUAAAGCAGCAAAAUAUGGUAAGAUGUGGAGCAGGAUGGUGGGAGUAGCCGUCCCAAAAAGGAACUUUCCAUGUAAUGUUUGGCCUUGUAGAUAUAGCCAGUCUAAUAAACCUCUUUUUCUAGCUUCUGGGAGAAAAGUGGGGUGGAUAAUAAUAAUAAUAAUAAUCAGUAAAAAAUCAGAAACUCCUCAAAGCACAGCAGACAAAAACCAGUACAAGAAAACCGCACUACAAACUAGAGCUGACAGCUGGCACAACAAAACAUUGCAUGGAAAGUUCCUUGACAAAAUUGAAGGAAAAGCUAAUAAGCAUAUCUAUCUUGUUUGCUGUGUCAUAGAAUAAAAUAAUAAUAAUAACUGCUGGGAGGUGGUACUUGAGGCAUAAGUUCCAAUGAAUCAUUUGGGCCACAUAGUUGUGCCUCUGUUUGUAGUCAGUCUGUGCAAUUUUCUUACAGCAACUGGGGAUAUGAUCAAAUAAUAAUAAUAAUAAUUUCAAAUAAUCAUAAUCAUAAUCAUAAUAGCUGUUAUGGGGAAAAGUGGUAUACAGAUUUGGGGGUCUGGAGGGUUGGUUUACCCCAUACCCCAAUGCCAGCAGUGCCUUCAUUUCUCUCUCUUGUUCCAGGUGCCCUCGGCCGCAGACGGAAGUAGCCCCGAACUGACCGCCGAUCUUUCACCUCAUGAACUUUGGUGCUACUGCCUGGUCUCGAAUGUACCCCCCACCCACCCACCCACCCUCCUUCAGCCACGGAAGCCCUCUCCCUUGGCACCGUCCUUGCCUCUGCCCCACACAGCCGCCCAAAGACGGCCCGCCGAGCCCCUUUGCCCUGUCUUUGGUGCUACUUCGACCAUCUCCUUGGCGGAGGGGCGGGGGUCGCCCAAGCACUUUAGCUUCCCCUGGGGGUCCAUAGCCGCUCCUUUGCUCCCUGGGUUGCUUCACAGAGUCAUAGAACCUUAGGGUUGGAAGGGAGCCCUAAAGGCCAUCUAGUCCAACCCUCUUCUGCCAGGAAGGAAGACAUAAUAAAUCCACGAAACAAUAAUAGGAUCCCAGAGUUGGAAGGGACCCCAAAGACCAUCCAGCCCACCCCUCUUCUGCCAGGAAGGAAGACAUAAUAAAUGCAUGAAACAAUAAUAGGAUCCCAGAGUUGGAAGGGACCCCAAAUGCCAUCCAGUCCAACCCUCUUCUUCCAGGAAGGAAGAUAGAAUCAAUAGGAUCUGAGAGUUGGAAGGGAUCCCCAAAGACCAUCCAAUCCAACCCUCUUCUGCCAGGAAGGAAGACAUAAUAAAUCCACGAAACAAUAAUAGGAUCCCAGAGUUGGAAGGGACCCCAGAGGUCAUCCAGUCCAACCCUCUUCUUCCAGGAAGGAAGACUUAAUGAAUGCAUGAAUCAAUCGAUCAAUAAAUCAAUCAUAGGAUCCUAGAGUUGGAAGGGACCCCAAAGGCCAUCUAGUCCAACUCUCUUCUGCCAGGAAGGAAGACUUAAUGAAUGCACGAAUCAAUCGAUCAAUAAAUCAAUCAUAGGAUCCUAGAGUUGGAAGGGACCCCAAAGGCCAUCUAGUCCAACUCUCUUCUGCCAGGAAGGAAGACUUAAUGAAUGCAUGAAUCAAUCGAUCAAUAAAUCAAUCAUAGGAUCCUAGAGUUGGAAGGGACCCCAAAGGCCAUCUAGUCCAACUCUCUUCUGCCAGGAAGGAAGACUUAAUGAAUGCACGAAUCAAUCAAUCAAUCAAUCAAUCAAUAAUAGGAUCCCAGAGUUGGAAGGGACCCCAAAGGUCAACUAGUCUAACCCUCUUCUGCCAGGACGGAAGACUUAAUGAAUGAAUGCAUGAAUCCAAUCAAUCAAUCAAUCAAUCAUAGGAUUCUAGAGUUGGAAGGGACCCCAAAGGUCAUCCUGUCCAACCUUCUUCUGCUAGGAAGGAAAAUACAAUAAAUCCCUGAACCAGUUAUAGGAUCCUAGAGUUGGAAGGGAUCCCAAGGGUUAGGGUGACUUCCAGGCAGGAAGUCACAAUCCGAACCCUCCCGACAGAGGGCCGGUGUGGCAUCUCUUUUGCUACCAUGUGAACCAACGGCUCCAUUAUGUCCUGGUCUCCAGAGCGGCAAAAAACAAAGCUUGCCUCCUUCUUCGUCCAAGAAUCUAAACCUGGCUCUCCUGUCACUUUUUCUCGGCUAAACAUCCCCAUCUCCUUAAGAGGGAAUUAUAGUUUUCCAGACCUUUGACCAUUGUGGUGACCGCUCCGUCUUGUCCAUAUCCUGGAUGGAAGGCUGUUCCCGGUGAGGUCUGACCAAAGCAGAAUAGAGCGGGAUCCUGAUUUCUCCCAAUAGAAUCACAUUGGCCUUUUUAGCUGCAGCAUGACACUGUUGGCUCAAAAGGCGUGCUAGUUUUAUUCCAGGUCAAGCGGUCUGACCAAAGCGGAAGAGAGUGGGACAAUGGCUUUCCUUCCCUUUGAUCUGGACACUAGACUCUUAUGGACGCGGCCUAGGAUUCGAGGCUGACGCUUCUGGACUUUUUCUUUCCCCGGCGGGAUUGACCUUAAUCCCGAGGCCGCAGCUGGCCUUUCUCUCCUUCCUCCCUUUCCUGGCUUCCAUAGGGCCAGAUUAGUCCCAAAACCCGUGUCACAACGGUCCAGAUCUGACCCCGUCCCAUCCGGGCGACCCGCCAAACCCGUCCUGUUUUUUUUUAAUUUUCCCCAAACAAACCCCAAACGCCGAAUUUUCCCAAAACGAACAAAACAGAAAAAAACAAAAACAAAAAAAUGGAAUGGAAUUUAAGUAAUAAUAAUAAUAAUAAAAAUUACCUGACUAAUAAAUAACUUUUUAAAGGAAACCGAAGUUGAUUGUCUUUUUUUUUUUGCUUUGGGAAUGUUUCUCUAUCCUGGGAGUUGUAGUUUGACAAGGUCUCCGGCCUUUUUCUGGGUUUCAGAUGCUGGUGGGGUAUUCUGGGCAGUCCCUUUUUUAAAUCAUGUUAGAAGCGACUUGAGACAUCCCAGUGUUCCUGACUCUCUCCAUUGAUGUGGAAUUUGCAUAACCCCGCCCACUUCCUCUCCCUUAACCCUUUCCUAUUUUUCUCUAUGGCACACAGUGAAGGAAUUGAUCGGCAUCUGAACAUACUAGAGAGGUUUGGGGAGAAUUCACCAUGAUUUUAGGAGUUGUAGGUACUGGGAUGUAUAGUUUACCUGCAAUCUAAGAUCACUAUGAACUUCACCAACGAUGGACCUGGAACCAACGUGGCAUACAGAACCCUCAUGACCAAGAAAAAAUACUGGCCAUCUUCAGAGGGAUUUAUAGGAGUUGUAGUUCACCUCCAUCCAGAACGCACUAUGAACCCAAACAAUGAUGGAUCUGGACCAAACUUGGCAUGCAUACCCAAUAUGCCCACAUUUGAAUACUGGUGGGUUUUGAAGGGAAUUGGUGUGGACAUUUUGGAGUUGUGGGUACUGGGAUAUAUAGUUCACCUGCAAUCAAUGAGCACCCUGAACUCCACCAAAGAUGGAAUUGGACCGAACUUGGAACACAGAGCCGUUAUGACCAGCAAAAAAAAACUGGAGGUUUUUGGGGGAAAUUCACCUUGAUUUGUGGGAGUUGUAGUUCACCUACCUCCAACCCAAACACCGAAGGAUCUGGACCAAACUUGGCAUACCCAGAUAUCUAAUAUGCUGAAUUUUGAUGACUGGAGGGGUUUGGGUUAGGGUUAAGGAACUGACCUUCCUUUCUGGGAGUUGUAGUUCACCCACAAUCAGGGAAACUGUGAAUUCCUCUGGUGAUGGAUCUGGACCAAACUUGGCAUACCCAGAUAUCUAAUAUGCUGAAAUUUGAUGACUGGAGGGGUUUGGGUUAGGGUUAAGGAACUGACCUUCCUUUCUGGGAAUUGUAGUUCACCCACAAUCAGGGAAACUGUGCCUUCCACCAGUGAUGGAUCUGGACUAAACUUGGCACACACACAGACCUGAUAUGCUAAAAUUUGAUUACUGGAGGGGUUAGGGUUAAGGAACUGACCUUUCUUUCUGGGAGUUGUAGUUCACCCACAACUAGGGAAACUGUAACUUCCACCGGUGAUGGAUCUGGACCAAACUUGGCACUCAGAACCCUCAUGACUAACUCAACCUACUGGAGGGGUUUGAGGGGGACUGAGUCCACGUAGUGGGAGUUGUAGUUCACCCUACAGCUAGGAAGCACAUUCAACCUCAUUGAUGAUGCAUCCAGAGCAAACUUGCGCAACAUCACAAACUUUAAGUACUGAUGGGUUGUU